UCGAGAAUAUUCGUACCAAGGGUUCCUUGGGAUACGUGAGGUUUCAACCGUAGGACGCGGGUGGAUCAAAUAGAUUAUUAAGAAUUGAAAUUUGGAAAAAUGCUAAGGUUGUUCCAAUUUUAAAACCAGACAAAAAUCCUGCAGAAGCUUCUACACUGAAAGAAACUUUGGAGUAAUGACAACUACCGCUUGGUUCUUAAAAAUACUAUUCGUGAAAAUAUUUGAGAUAAAUAGAUUUGCGCUUGUAGUUACUACAAUGCGGUUGAAAUCGCUAUGCUGUUAAGGGGUUGAUUUAACUACUUUUAAAUAGUUAAGAAAACUAUAAUUUUGCAUUGAAGACAAACACAUGUUUGCUCGUUUUUACCAUGGGCAUGGUAAUAGUAACAACAAUCCUCGAUACUAAUGACAUUGCAAACUACGCCAUUUUUCCAUCGACUUGUGUGUUUAUAGAUGAAUGAGAAUGCUCGGAAAGUGAUUGAUUUCUUUGUUCAUUCAUUUAUAUAAUUAUUCAAAACUAAUAAUAUUUAUUUUGCACAGAGCUAGUUUGAUCAACACAGUGAUGGUCACGUCCUGCUGCAUUUUUUAUGUUACAAAAUUGAGCGACGAUCUACUCUGUUUUUACUUCUAUCGGACAUUGUACAAACGAAACCCCGUAGCUCAAAAUUUCUCCAAAUGGCAAGGAGCUUGUGAA